GAUGCUUGGUUCCCACACCAGAUAAUGCUCUCAUAACCUGCUUUCCCACACCAUGGUUGGGGAAGAAUAUCCUCCUAAGUUUUUGCUCCUACUUGGAUUCAAGAAAAAAAGAUCAAAACUCAAAGUGGAUUCCUUGGCACGCCUGCCCUGCAAGCUGUUUCACAAAGGGUUCCUUGGUCAGGAGUCAGGGAAAGGCUCUGCACCCAGACCUUCCUGCUUGUGCUGUCUCCUCUUACCUUGUGUCCAGAGUGUGGGGAUGAAGUCUGGGCUACCAGCAGCCGUACCAUAGCAUCCCAUUGCUCAGCAGUUUGGCGCUCCCGUGCAGUCACAGUAAAGGCCACCUGCUCUGAGGGGAUCUUCAGCUCCCGGGUGGCGAAGACUGUCCCAUCAGCCCCGACUUUGAAGUCCAAACUGUUGGUCUCAUACUGCGUCCCUUUGGUGCCCAAGCAGCUGCUGAACUUGACUGUAAGAGGAGAGAAGACGGUCAGGGUGGCCAGCAGGAGAAGUAGCUGGAGGCCAAGACAAAGGAUGGAUGAGCCUCAACUCUCCAAACCCAGGUGGACACCCUCCACACAGGACAGUUUCUGCACCCAUGCAGAGGUUGUCGUGGAGUGGGAACCUCUACCCACUGGAAGACUCCCACAUUCCCACCUCUUGCCUCACACCAACGUCUGCCUGUCAGUAUAGACGCCCAGUCCUUUGGAUCUGUUUUUUGUGUCCAAGAAAGCUGAGUGCAGUGAAGGAACCAGAGAGAGCUGGCAUGUCAAGACUCUCCCCUCCACAUUAGAACGUUCUGGAAAUGGGAUUAGCAUGGCUGGCCCUUUCAUGGCUUGUGAGAUCUGACACUUGUCAGACACCUGGGUCCUGCUGGGGCAGAGGCAGGAUGACAGGCAGGCCUGGCUCAGCCACAAACUUUCUUGGUUAGUGACAGAGUUAACAAAGCCUAUGACACUGCUGGGUAUCCUGCAUCAUUUUGCUUCCAAAACAUUAAUUAGGCAACUAAAUUUUCGCCCCCCCACCAUGUACCAGCGCUUCAGCCACUUCCAACUCCACCACAGAAAGAGACAUCGCCAAGACUGCAUAUUCAUCUGGCCCACGGUAGUGCAUUUUUUAGACACACGCUUUUGUGACUGUCACCCAACUCGGUGGUAAAUUAUGAAGCACCAACAGCUGGUGUCACAUUCUGCUGAUAAAAGCAAUGGAUAAAGUUACCCAGUAUUUAUAAAAAUGUGGGUAUCUAAGCAAUUAUGGUGGGAGGAUUGGUUUUAUAAGCAAUUUCACUGUCACAGCUUACAUGAUUUAAUUACUAUUUAUUCUAGAAACUAAAAAAAGCGACUUGCACUUACAUUUGAUAAAGUGUUUUUCCUGCAUGUUCACCUUUUAUUGUUGCCUGCCUUGAAAUAAUAAAUAACA